rnacentral:rRNA from 1 species
GAUGAACGCUGGCGGCGUGCCUAAUACAUGCAAGUCGAGCGAAUGGAUUAAGAGCUUGCUCUUAUGAAGUUAGCGGCGGACGGGUGAGUAACACGUGGGUAACCUGCCCAUAAGACUGGGAUAACUCCGGGAAACCGGGGCUAAUACCGGAUAACAUUUUGAACCGCAUGGUUCGAAAUUGAAAGGCGGCUUCGGCUGUCACUUAUGGAUGGACCCGCGUCGCAUUAGCUAGUUGGUGAGGUAACGGCUCACCAAGGCAACGAUGCGUAGCCGACCGGAGAGGGUGGUCGGCCAGACUGGGACUGAGACACGGCCCAGACUCCGACGGGAGGCAGCAGUAGGGAAUCUUCCGCAAUGGACGAAAGUCUGACGGAGCAACGCCGCGUGAGUGAUGAAGGCUUUCGGGUCGUAAAACUCUGUUGUUAGGGAAGAACAAGUGCUAGUUGAAUAAGCUGGCACCUUGACGGUACCUAACCAGAAAGCCACGGCUAACUACGUGCCAGCCGCCGCUGUAA